UCAAACUUGGUCAUUUAGAGGAAGUAAAAGUCGUAACAAGGUUUCCGUAGGUGAACCUGCGGAAGGAUCAUUAGAAAGAAAAAAAGAUCGACCUCGGAAACGUGGACGAUCAAAUCCAUAUCCACCUUGUGUGCACUCAUUGACCGUUCGCUUUGGCAGGAGGAGUCUUCGAUCGCCGAUCGAAGGCGCGAGGCCUUUUCCCCUUCUCCGGGAGAUUGGCAUAUCUCGGCCUGCCAGAGUUUUUUUUCUCGAACUCACGCUUCUCUUGAACCUUUUGGACUGAACCCUCGUCUCGAUUCUUUUGCAAUCGGUCGAAUCAAAUACAACUUUCAACAACGGAUCUCUUGGCUCUCGCAUCGAUGAAGAACGCAGC
rnacentral:misc_RNA from 1 species